CUCCAUUGUCUCGUCCUCACCCACAUCCCUUUCGCCGUCCUCCGCCGUCUCCCCUUCGCCUUCUUUGCCCUUCUCCUACUGUCGCCCACCUCGGUUUUCUCCUACUGUCGUCGAAAUCGAGGGCGGCGAGGGUGCAGGAGGAGAAGGGGAGCAGGUGGAGAAGGAAAUGGAGAGAAAUCGCGGCCGAACGAAAGGGUGGCUGAGGAAGAUAGGGAAGAAGACGACAAUGGCGAGGGGCAAAAUGGUCAUUUUACACACCGUAACCCCGCUGUGAACAUUUUUUAUUUUACAGGGGGGCAAAGUGUAGGUUUUUAAAUGUCAGGGGGGCAAAGUGUAGGUUUUUAAAUGUCAGGGAAAAAAGUAAAAAAACAGGUUAUUACAGGAGGGUUUUCUGUAAUUUAGCCUUUUUUUUUUCACAUAUU
rnacentral:lncRNA from 1 species